UAUGCUGAGUCUCUUUAUGAAAUGGAAUAGUAGUGGAAUGAGCUGAAAGUAGCAAUGCCCAUCAUUGCACAUGAGCAGCCGCUAAUGAUGGAAUUCCAUGGUUUGGUCGAAAAAUUGAAAGUAACAGUCAAUGAUCUGCUAGCAAGGGCAGGUCUACAGAGGCAAAGGUAAUCUGCUUCUCUAGCUGCACUUUUGUCUUUGUCAUGUCGAUGGCUACUAUGACAGAGUGGAUAGCAGACAAGGAGAGACUUAAGAUAACACAUCUCCCUGGAUUAGUACUAUUUCAUGCUGUUUUAGCAUUACUGAAUGAUUUCUCCAUAGCUGAAGUAUCCAUGUUAAAUCAUAAUGAGGUAUUAAAAACUGUAGAAAAGACCACAUUUUUCACUGCAAUCCUGACCCUGAUUCCUGGACCCUUGGCACAAUUCGUGACCCCAUCUCUGGCUCUGACCCUUGGCUUGCCUUCAGACUCCAGCUUUGACCGAUGGCUUUGAUUCCUUGCUCCCAAGCUCCUGCCACUAGUUCUGUGUUAUCUUCAUCGCUGAUCCUGACACCUAGACCUGAACAUCUCUGAACUAUGGAAAAGUUUGGGUCUGGAGCCAAACUCUCUGUCUUGAGCUCAUCUCUGUGCUUUAUCGUCCCAACUGGCCCUUUCUGUCAACAGUCACCCUUCUCCUUCAGCAAACCUUGUACUUACCUUUGUACUUUUUGGAGGAAAAAUUUUCUUAAAGUAUUAUUGUAACUUUACCUGAACUUACUAUGUUAUAUGUUGUUUAUCCAGAAUCAGGUUAAUAUUCAACGAACCUGGUCAAAGAUUUUGGUUCACUAGCUGGGGAGCACUUCUCUGAGUGCACCAAAAAGAGUGACAAAACUUAUACUUAUCCUCUUUUUUUUGACACUUACCUUGUGAAUAUACUUGAUGUGAAAGCUUUUCUGUUACAAGGACAGUCUAUAUUUUACUAUGCCACAGUUUCAAAGGAGGAGAAGUCACACUUUUU